UAUUCUGCCCCAUGGGGAAGGAUGAGAAGCUUCGACUAAGGUUCGACUCGAGCGAAGCGAGAGAACGUUGCCACAGGCAACGGCCCGAAGGGCGAGGCGCUUUAGCGCCGAGUAAUCCUUCCCCCACCACCA
rnacentral:sRNA from 1 species